rnacentral:sRNA from 1 species
GCAACGCGGCGGCGUGCCCCCGUGGCGUC